AAGAACUAAUAAUCUGAACAAUCGAAUGAUAGGGUAACGCCUUGAAAGGUUGUCCAUAAUACUCCGAA
rfam:Epulopiscium sp. AS2M-Bin001 AS2M_MBin01_30, whole genome shotgun sequence.